rnacentral:rRNA from 1 species
CGCCUCUUGCUAACAAAGGAAGUACUAGAGGUCCCGCCUGCCCUGUGACCACAAAGUUUAACGGCCGCGGUAUCCUGACCGUGCGAAGGUAGCGUAAUCAUUUGUCUUUUAAAUAGAGACCUGUAUGAAUGGCAUAACGAGGGUUUAACUGUCUCCUUCCCCCAGUCAAUGAAAUUGAUCUGCCCGUGCAGAAGCGGACAUAAAUACAUAAGACGAGAAGACCCUAUGGAGCUUUAGACAAAAGAUCAAACAUGUAAAGAAACCAAAACAACCAAAAGGAACACGAAGGCCACAAAACCCAACGUAAACUGAUCUAAAUGUCUUCGGUUGGGGCGACCAUGGGGGAAAGAAAAGCCCCCACGAGGAACAGGGACAACCCCUAAACUAAGAGGGACACCUCUAAGCAACAGAAAAUCUGACCAAAAUGACCCAGGAUAUUAAUCCUGAUCAACGAACCAAGUUACCCUAGGGAUAACAGCGCAAUCCUUUCCCAGAGUCCAUAUCGACGAAAGGGUUUACGACCUCGAUGUUGGAUCAGGACAUCCUAAUGGUGCAGCCGC